rnacentral:rRNA from 1 species
AUUGAACGCUGGCGGCAUGCCUUAUACAUGCAAGUCGAACGGUAACGGGCCUUCGGGUGCCGACGAGUGGCGAACGGGUGAGUAAUACAUCGGAACGUGCCCGACCGUGGGGGAUAACGAGGCGAAAGCUUUGCUAAUACCGCAUACGAUCUACGGAUGAAAGCAGGGGACCGCAAGGCCUUGCGCGGACGGAGCGGCCGAUGGCCGAUUAGGUAGUUGGUGGGAUAAAAGCUUACCAAGCCGACGAUCUGUAGCUGGUCUGAGAGGAUGAUCAGCCACACUGGGACUGAGACACGGCCCAGACUCCUACGGGAGGCAGCAGUGGGGAAUUUUGGACAAUGGGCGCAAGCCUGAUCCAGCCAUGCCGCGUGCAGGAUGAAGGCCUUCGGGUUGUAAACUGCUUUUGUACGGAACGAAAAGCCUUCUUUUAAUACAGGAGGGUCAUGACGGUACCGUAAGAAUAAGCACCGGCUAACUACGUG